rnacentral:rRNA from 1 species
UAACUGCGAGUGAAGCGGGAAGAGCUCAAAUUUAAAAUCUGGCGGUGUUUUACCGUCCGAAUUGUAACCUAGAGAAGUGUUGCCCGUACUGGACCAUGUAUAAGUCUCCUGGGAUGGAGCGUCACAGAGGGUGAGAAACCCGUAUUUGACAUGGACUACCAGUGCAUUGUGGUAUGCUCUCAAAGAGUUGAGUUGUUUGGGAAUGCAGCUCUAAAUGGGUGGUAAAUUCCAUCUAAAGCUAAAUAUUGGCGAGAGACCGAUAGCGAACAAGUACCGUGAGGGAAAGAUGAAAAGAACUUUGGAAAGAGAGUUAAACAGUAUGUGAAAUUGUUGAAAGGGAAACGUUUGAAGUCAGUGAUUAUUGUUCAGGGAUCAAGUCAACAAGAAUUGUUGGGUGUAUUUCCUGUUCAAUAGGCCAACAUGAGUUUUGAGUGCUGGAGAAAGGCAUAGGGAAAGUGGCACCUUUUGGGUGUGUUAUAGCCCUAAGUCAUAUGCAGCGGUUAGGACUGAGGAGGACAGCGCGCCGCAAGGCCGGGUUUCGACCACGUUCGCGCUUAGGAUGUUGGCAAUAAUGGCUUUAAACGACCCGUCUUGAAACACGGACCAAGGAGUCUAACAUGCCUGCGAGUGUUUGGGUUGAAAACCCUUGCGCGCAAUGAAAGUGAAAGUUGAGAUCCCGGUGAAAUGGGAGCAUCGAUGCCCAGACCAGAACUUUUGGGACGGAUCUGCGGUAGAGCAAGCAUGUUGGGACCCGAAAGAUGGUGAACUAUGCCUGAAUAGGGCGAAGCCAGAGGAAACUCUGGUGGAGGCUCGUAGCGAUUCUG